rnacentral:rRNA from 1 species
CACGUAGGGGGCGAGCGUUGUCCGGAUUUAUUGGGCGUAAAGAGCUCGUAGGUGGCUUAGUAAGUCGGGUGUGAAACCUCCAGGCUCAACCUGGAGACGCCACCCGAUACUGCUAUAGCUUGAGUCCGGUAGGGGAGCGUGGAAUUCCUGGUGUAGCGGUGAAAUGCGUAGAUAUCUGGAGGAAUACCGGUGGCGAAGGCGGCAUCCUGGACCAUUACUGACGCUGAGGCGCGAAAGCUAGGGGAGCAAACGGG